rnacentral:rRNA from 1 species
GUAGUCUCGCACAGAUGCAUAUCAAUAAGCGGAGGAAAAGAAACUAACAAGGAUUCCCCUAGUAACGGCGAGUGAAGCGGGAAGAGCUCAAAUUUGAAAUCUUAAAGGGUUUCCCUUUACGAAUUGUAGUUUAAAGAAGUGUUUUCUGUUGAGGUUUUGGUAAAAGUUCUUUGGAAUAGGACAUCAUAGAGGGUGAGAAUCCCGUAUUUGACCUUUACUUUCAACUUUGUGAUACACUUUCAAAGAGUCGGAUUGUUUGGGAAUGCAGUCCAAAAUGGGUGGUAAAUUUCAUCUAAAGCUAAAUAUUGGCGAGAGACCGAUAGCGAACAAGUACCGUGAGGGAAAGGAUGAAAAGAACUUUGAAAAGAGAGUUAAACAGUACGUGAAAUUGUCAAAAGGGAAGCGUUUGACACCAGUGUUGUUUUUCUGAAAAUCAAUUAAAGAACUGUUUAUGCUAAGUUGUUUAGACUCUAUCAGCUAACUGUUUAGUUUUGAGCUUUUCUUUAAUGCACUUUUCAGUUAACAAGUCAACAUCAAUUUCUUUUGCUGUAAAAAAGCUUGAGGAAGGUGGCUUGAGAUUCGUCUUAAGUGUUUAUAGCCUCUUGCCUAUGCAGUCGGAGAGAUUGAGGUCUGCAGCGUAGAUCCUUCGGGGCUAAAUGCAUUUGUGCUAAGUUAUAGCAUUUUAUAGACAACUUGUUGACUAUGAUUUGUCUUGUAGCUUACUCGCUUAUGUUAUUUUACCUACGCUUAGGAUGUUGAGUCGUAGAGCACGCAG